rnacentral:misc_RNA from 1 species
AGCAAAAACUGAACACUUUCGAUAACCAGCUUCCGCCCUUGCCAAACUCCUUCCCGUUAAUCUCCAACGUCACAGUACUAUUACUCUCAUUCAUUACAUACCGUACCGUCCCUCCUUUAUCCACGUCGCUACUCUUCGGCCCAGGAGCCGGCUCAUUGCAAGGAAGCCACCUAGAACCCUGCAAAAAGGGAAGGAUCGAGUCGGCUUUAAUUGGCGAAAUUCCCGAAACGGCGGAAGAAGCUGAAAUCCCAACCGUUGACUU